GCCACAUCAUGAUGAAACACCAGUUCUCGUAAAAUCACUGAAGUUAAGCAACAUUGAACCCGGUCAGUACCUAUAUGGUUGAUCGUUUGGGAUUACCAGGUGCUGUAAG